UACGAAGGGGGCUAGCGUUGCUCGGAAUCACUGGGCGUAAAGGGCGCGUAGGCGGCCAUUCAAGUCGGGGGUGAAAGCCUGUGGCUCAACCACAGAAUUGCCUUCGAUACUGUUUGGCUUGAGACCGGAAGAGGUCAGUGGAACUGCGAGUGUAGAGGUGAAAUUCGUAGAUAUUCGCAAGAACACCAGUGGCGAAGGCGGCUGACCGGUCCGGUUCUGACGCUGAGGCGCGAAAGCGUGGGGAGCAAACAGG
rnacentral:rRNA from 1 species